UUAGAGUUUGAUCAUGGCUCAGGAUGAACGCUGGCGGCGUGCUUAACACAUGCAAGUCGAACGAACGGAGGAGAGCUUGCUCUCCAAAGUUAGUGGCGGACGGGUGAGUAACGCGUGGGUAACCUGCCUCAUGCAGGGGGAUAACAUCUGGAAACGGAUGCUAAUACCGCAUAAACUAUGGAUGACCGCAUGGUCAUUAUAGCAAAGAUUUAUCGGCAUGAGAUGGACCCGCGUUGGAUUAGCUAGUUGGUGAGAUAACAGCCCACCAAGGCGACGAUCCAUAGCCGGCCUGAGAGGGUGAACGGCCACAUUGGGACUGAGACACGGCCCAAACUCCUACGGGAGGCAGCAGUGGGGAAUAUUGCACAAUGGGCGAAAGCCUGAUGCAGCAACGCCGCGUGAAGGAUGAAGGUCUUCGGAUUGUAAACUUCUAUCAGCARGGAARAAAAAAUGACGGUACCUGACUAAGAAGCUCCGGCUAACUACGUGCCAGCAGCCGCGGUAAUACGUAGGGAGCAAGCGUUAUCCGGAUUUACUGGGUGUAAAGGGUGCGUAGGCGGCUUGGUAAGUCUAAAGUGAAAUUUCGGGGCUCAACCCCGGAGCUGCUUUGGAAACUGCCGAGCUAGAGUGUGGGAGAGGAAAGCGGAACUUUGAGUGUAGCGGUGAAAUGCGUAGAGAUUCAAAGGAACACCAGUAGCGAAGGCGGCUUUCUGGACCAUAACUGACGCUGAGGCACGAAAGCGUGGGGAGCUAACAGGAUUAGAUACCCUGGUAGUCCACGCCGUAAACGCCUCUCUAGGUGUUGGGGCUUACGGGUCUCAGUGCCGAAGUUAACACAUUAAGCAUCCACCUGGG
rnacentral:rRNA from 1 species